rnacentral:lncRNA from 1 species
CACUUCAAUGUGUUCACCAAGGUUCAGAGUCUGACAUGUAGGUCCUGAGCCAAAACCCAGAAUCUCCAUUUCACCCUUUUGCCUUGUGGGUGCAAACUCUUGAUAAUAGAUGUGAAAUGACCCUGAAUAAGACUUUCCUUGAUAUCAAUGGGAAUUGCUGUAUCUGUCCUGUGAUCCAGAUAUAUAGUGUUUUAUUUAAUCUC